GAUAACCGCUGAAAGCAUCUAAGCGGGAAGCGAGCCCUGAGAUGAGUCUUCCCUGACGGUUUAACUGUCCUAAAGGGUUGUUCGAGACUAGAACGUUGAUAGGCAGGGUGUGUAAGCGUUGUGAGGCGUUGAGCUAACCUGUACUAAUUGCCCGUGAGGCUUAACCAU
rnacentral:rRNA from 1 species